CAGAUCUGAGCUCGCAGCACCUGGCGACGGUGUUGUCAUGCGGUCUCAACGGGAAUGAGAGCGUGUCCGAGGAGGUAUGGAAACUCUUCACGCAGAAGGUCAACCCUGUGCUGGGACCAGCGCUCGACCUGCUCGCCCACACGAGGCUGAAUAAGUCCCGCCCCACUGUGUCAUUCUUGAAUGUGAUUGGAGAAGUCACUCUGAGCUCCUUCAGCUCCACCAAUCUGAGAGAUGAUUCGUUCAUCCAGCGCUGGUUUGACUUCAGGCUCCGCCCAUUUUUACCCUACGCCUCCGAGACGUUCCUGUCCUGUCUGUCCACCAGAGACUUCAGCUGUGACACCUACAGGAGCGUUGUCGGGAGCUUCAGUCAGAGUUUUGAUGUCAUGUCCACCGAUACACAAGCUAA